AAAAAGCUAGCGCAAUAGGCUUUACAAAGGAGGGUUUCUAAUUAAUUUCAUUCCACUGAGYGUAAAGAACACGAUCAGCUUCACAAAAGGCUGGAACCGCCUUACAUGAAACCAACAUCUGUUUUAUUCAUCAUAUUAAUAUAGGAUAAGGGAUAAGGUGCAGUUACUUUCUGCAUAAAACGAAGUCUUUGCUGAUGAAAAAAUAACGCUUUUGUUCUUUAGAAAAAUCUUAUGUGUUUAAUUUACUUUGGUUAAUAAUGAUGGAAAAUUUAAAAAAUAUAUAUAUUUUUUCAUCUUCAUAUAACAUAAGCGAACUGGAAAGCCUGGCUGCGGUAAUUUUACACCGAAAGAGAAUUGCUCAAAAGAAGAUGAUGGUAAGAAAAGCACUACAUAGAUAUAACCAAGCAUACUAAAAGAUUCUAUCAUAAUCAGUUACCUCUUUACAAGAGUCUAAAGAAUCUAGAAUCUAUAGGCUUUUGUGAUAAUUCUGAUGUUCAAAUAUUUUGAUGUCAGAAUUUUGUAUGCAGUUAAGAAAUAUUGAAAUAUUCAAGAUAUCUUAGCUUUGAUGGGUUGCUAUGGCUACUAGUGGAGACAAGAGGCGAGUUUGUUUAGCUAGUUAGACAUAGUUAUAUCGAUUCGGUAAUUAAUUUCGAUUUACGAGUAAGCUGUAGAAUGUAUUGAUAAUGUACCAAAGUGGAGUAGAAUGAUGUGAUGGUCAUCGAGGCUGUAGCAGACGUUAAUGGCUGUGGAAAGUUGGUAAGUACUGAAACACUUUUGUUAACACAUGCAUUUGGAAAUACGUUUUAUUUUUGAGGGAGAGAAGAUAACUCCAUUUCUUUCUUCUUUUUUUCUCUCCGUCGCACCCAUUCGUUCUUUUAUUCAUUUUUCAUUCAUUUAUUCAAUCGUUCGCUUUUUUAAUUCACCCAUCCACUUCUUAUUUCGCUUUGUUUUAGCAUUCGUUUCUUUGUCCACACAGGAAGCACAUCAGUGUAAAGAAGACAACAGUGAUGAACUACUAAACCAAAGAUGAUGACGUCGCGACAGUUGAAUUACGUCACUAAACUGUGCUUAGAAUAAUGCAGACAGACAGACAGAGCUAUAACUAAAUAAGUAUAUUCAAAUAGUUAGUUAGGUAGUCAGUCAACAGUCAAUUUAUAGAUGUAUAUAUUAUUGAAGUAUAUAAUUAUAGAUGUGAAUAUGAAUA